UUGCAUGCAACCUGCUGUUGCUCUGCAAGUCACCGGAGCGGAGGCUAUGCGAGGCAAAUCCCUACACGCGAGACGUCGUCGUCUCGACGAUUUAUUUUUUUACUUUGGGCGCCACUAUGUUAUGGAACUGCAUUUGGUCCUGGGACGGCGCCGGCUAGCUCCCGAAUCCCCAGGGCGGAGUAUCCCCAAUGUCCCUACAGAUUCCACAACAUAAACAUCGAUAUACGCGCGUCUCACUUCACAAAAACUAUCGCUCAUCACUAACAAACAAAACAAACCAAAAUGUAAACAAUGCAAACAAUUAGGAGUGACGGGAAAUAUAUGGUGUUUUGGUGGCUAUUGGUGACCUAGCCAAGCACGCCCACCCAACCAAGGAUGCCCCGGAUGAUUCUGAGGAGGCAUCACCCAUAAUCAGCUGGUCGAAGUCACUCCUCGCGACUAGGACAGCUCCAUCUCCCCCACAGCGACAACUCACUCGCACAUUUCGGUCUUCAUGUACAUUUAAUAUCCACACCUCUACGACCAAACUUGGCCACCGUCUCCAAAUUUAACCGGUCAAAGCGGAAGAUUACCUUCCUUUGGCAAAGGCUACAGGCGCCGCGGAAAUAAUGUUCCACCAGUCACUUAUUGGUGGAACUCGCAUUGAACGAGGCGCACAAAAGGGCACACACUAGGUAUGUGUCGGGUCACCUAAUCCUGAGGAGCUCCUAGGGAAAAGAAGGGACAGGCCAAACGGCAACAACGAGGACAAGAAUUGAGGUUUUCGGGUCUAAGUCCGGAUAAAUUUACAGGUCAACAGCCACUUCUGGGCUAGGCGCCGGGCUAACUAUGCCCCGACUACAGCGUACUCUGCCGGAGGCCAGCAGCAGUAAGGGCCUGGAACACCCCGAGGAGCGGUGGCGAAGGCGAGCCUGAUGGCGGUGCCUCUCAACGCCGCGCGCACUGGCAGCCUGACGACCCCAAAGCAGGUGGGUCUUAAUAGCCCGGAACGGACUCACCGGUGAAUGUCGGAUGGCGUUGGCUGCGUCCGAGGAAGGCGAGUAGUGUUUGUCCAGAUCUCGUAGCUGGCUCGACCGAAGAUUUAAUUCCCUCCAAUUUAAAUCUCCAAUUUGAAUUUCCAGAUUUAAUUAGUCCAAUUUUAUAUGUCCAAUUAAGUCUUCUAAUUUGCACUUACAAUAUAAGUAUCCCGGGGCCCUUUGUAUUGGGACCCCGGUUGCCCUACGAAUAAUUAUUUAUAAAUAAAAUAAACUAUUAAACCUAACACAAAUUUCUCUAACACUCACUUUUUAUUA